rnacentral:tRNA from 1 species
UUAGUUGAAACCAAAAAGAGGUAUAUCACUGUUAAUGAUAUAAAUGAGAAAUUCUCCAAUUAAA